rnacentral:rRNA from 1 species
AUUGAACGCUGGCGGCAUGCUUUACACAUGCAAGUCGAACGGCAGCACGGGCUUCGGCCUGGUGGCGAGUGGCGAACGGGUGAGUAAUAUAUCGGAACGUACCCAGCAGUGGGGGAUAACUUAGCGAAAGUUACGCUAAUACCGCAUACGAUCUAUGGAUGAAAGCAGGGGACCGCAAGGCCUUGUGCUCCUGGAGCGGCCGAUAUCUGAUUAGCUAGUUGGUGAGGUAAAGGCUCACCAAGGCGACGAUCAGUAGCUGGUCUGAGAGGACGACCAGCCACACUGGAACUGAGACACGGUCCAGACUCCUACGGGAGGCAGCAGUGGGGAAUUUUGGACAAUGGGCGCAAGCCUGAUCCAGCAAUGCCGCGUGAGUGAAGAAGGCCUUCGGGUUGUAAAGCUCUUUUGUCAGGGAAGAAACGGUAGAGGCUAAUAUCCUUUGCUAAUGACGGUACCUGAAGAAUAAGCACCGGCUAACUACGUG